rnacentral:rRNA from 1 species
ACUCCUACGGGAGGCAGCAGUGAGGAAUAUUGGACAAUGGACGCAAGUCUGAUCCAGCCAUGCCGCGUGCAGGAAGACUGCCCUAUGGGUUGUAAACUGCUUUUAUUUGGGAAUAAACCCUCUACGUGUAGAGGGCUGAAGGUACCAAAUGAAUAAGCACCGGCUAACUCCGUGCCAGCAGCCGCGGUAAUACGGAGGGUGCAAGCGUUAUCCGGAAUCAUUGGGUUUAAAGGGUCCGCAGGCGGUCAAUUAAGUCAGAGGUGAAAUCCUAUAGCUUAACUAUAGAACUGCCUUUGAUACUGGUUGACUUGAGUUAUACGGAAGUAGGUAGAAUGUGUAGUGUAGCGGUGAAAAUGCAUAGAUAUUACACAGAAUACCGAUUGCGAAGGCAGCCUACUACGUAUAUACUGACGCUCAUGGACGAAAGCGUGGGAGCGAACAGGAUUAGAUACCCUGGUAGGACAGUG